GUGUGACUGAGGGAAGGAUCCUGAAUAAAUGUGAGCUGAAGGCCCAGCUGGAUGCCGCUCAGUUUCAGCAGAUCACCGUCAUGGAAGAGACAAUAACCGUGAACAGUCUCAUCACUAGACUUGUCUGCAAGGCCAGCAGCUCAGCCUUCAACACCAGCUUUGUCAAAAACACCAUGGUCCACAAUAAGGAGAUGAAGCCAUCACAAGCCCCACCUCAAGCUGCAUCCCAAAUUCCACCUAAGGCUCCAUCAUCUGGAGCUCCACCUCAAGCUCCAGCUGGAGCUCCAUCACGUAGAGGUCCCCCUCAGGCUCCAUCAUCUCGGCUUCCACCUCAGGCUCCAGCUGGAGCUCCACCUAAGCCCCAUGCACAUGCUCCCACUAAAGGACCCCAGGGCUCCGGCCACGAGACGCAGCCAAACACAGCCACCAAAGUUGUCAGGCACCUGUACGGUGUGUUUCAGCUCAGUGAUCAGUGGGCCUGUGAUUCCGGCAUGAACUCAUCUCUCAAUGUCUGCAACACGACCUGCUCUGCUUUGACAGACGAUGACAUCACUGAUGACAUCGCCUGCCUGAAGACCCUGAUGAACAUCACGAAAGCUAAACCCAAAGAGAUCCCCACCGCUGUAAAGAAGAUUGUGGAGAUGAUGAUGGUGAAGGAGUGUCACUCUGUCGUUUCCCCGAACUACUUUGCUGACUGUGUUUAAUACACACAGAGCAGACUCACUCUAGCUUCAUCCUGCUGCAUUACUUACACUCACACGCCAGUCGGAUGCUUUCCAUGGCAACUGUCUUUGAUUGAAUGGUAAUGAGGUCAUUAUGAUGGUGGCGGGAGUUUAAACAAGACUCUGAAUUGAGGGAGUUUGUGCAUUAAGACACUUUAGUUUAUUACUGUAAUACUGUGAAUGUUUAAACUUCUGUCUAAGCAUAUAUCACUGUGUAUAAACCAAUAUGAUUGUGCUGCUUCUGGGGGCUUUUAAAUACUGUCACUUUAUCAUAAAAACUAAAUAAAAAAACAGCUCUAAGUUUUCUAUCUUUUCCUUAUUAU
rnacentral:lncRNA from 1 species